rnacentral:tRNA from 1 species
GCCGUUGUAGCUCAGUUGGUAGAGCGGUCGCCUCGUAAGCGACAGGUCGCCAGUUCGAUCCUGGCCAACGGCUCCA